CCGCUUCAUGUCGUCACCCGGAGAGGCGGGGCUCCUUAACCCUUGCCUGCCCCGGCGUGGGCGCGGUGGCCGGCAGGGAGAAGCUGGUAGGGGCGCGCCAGCGGCGGCGGAUACCCCGAACCUGCCCUCCUAGAGGGAGGCCCGGGGGUGACGACCCCCAGCCCGCCCACGCCUCUCCCCAGAGGUUCUAGGUAGCGCACCUGUGGAUAACUAGGGAAACUGAGGCCGGGAGAGGCCCCAGAGUGCUGGGUUCGAAUCCAAGGAGCGGGUGCGGAGGGAGGAGGGCUGCGCCGGGGUUUUCUCGCCGCGGGGAGGCUGUUUUCCUUCUGCUCUGACCUUAGCUGGGAGCGGCGGGGUCAGGCCGCGGUUCCAUGACGCGGGGGCGCGGAGCGAGGUCGCCCGGACUGCGGGACCGCGCGUCCGCCCAAGGGUUGGACAGGCUCUGCGUGAGGGCAGCUUGCCUGGCCGGUGAGGGCAGCUUGCCUGGCCGGUGAUUUGGCUGAAAAGAGUGAGAUGAGGAAGUGGAAAAGGGAAGUGCCCUCCACGGUGAGAGGUCACCGCGCCGGAGUUUGCCCAGAUCCCACACAGUGUUUCAGUCUCCCUCUGUCCAUUUUCUAGAUGGAGAAACUGAGGCCUGGAGCCACCAAGGGGCUGCCCAGAAACUACAAACCCUUCAUCCUUUGCCAGUUUUAACAGUAGAGUGUUAUUAAUAGCUCUUUGGAUGGAGAAAUUGAGCCACAGAGCUGAGACAGCAUUCGAAGCCUGGCCUGCCUAACCCUGGGAGGCCCCAAACCCGGCCAGGUCACAGCUGGAGCAUCACCCCCUCCAGGAAGCCCUCCCUGACCAGCCAGAUAAACGUUCUUGGAGCACCCUCCUCUCACCAGUACACUUUCACAUUUACUGUCAUGAUUAUUUGAUCUGCAUCUGUCUCACCCACCAGCCCCUUGAGGGCAAGAGCAAGUCUGCCUUGCUCCCAGCUGUGACCUUAGUACCUGGCACUCAGAAAGUGCCCAAUAAAUGCUUGUGA